rnacentral:rRNA from 1 species
GAUGAACGCUGGCGGCGUGCCUAAUACAUGCAAGUCGAGCGAACAGACGAGGAGCUUGCUCCUCUGACGUUAGCGGCGGACGGGUGAGUAACACGUGGAUAACCUACCUAUAAGACUGGGAUAACUUCGGGAAACCGGAGCUAAUACCGGAUAAUAUAUUGAACCGCAUGGUUCAAUAGUGAAAGACGGUUUUGCUGUCACUUAUAGAUGGAUCCGCGCCGCAUUAGCUAGUUGGUAAGGUAACGGCUUACCAAGGCAACGAUGCGUAGCCGACCUGAGAGGGUGAUCGGCCACACUGGAACUGAGACACGGUCCAGACUCCUACGGGAGGCAGCAGUAGGGAAUCUUCCGCAAUGGGCGAAAGCCUGACGGAGCAACGCCGCGUGAGUGAUGAAGGUCUGCGGAUCGUAAAACGCUGUUAUUAGGGAAGAACAAAUGUGUAAGUAACGAUGCACGUCUUGACGGUACCUAAGCAGAAAGCCACGGCUAACUACGU